CCAAAAAAAAAAAAAAAAACAAAAAACAAUAUGUAAAAAAACUGAAAACAAUUCCCAAGAAAGGAAAAGUUACCUACCCCAACCACCGCCAUCACUUAAAAAACUGGAAAGUAGAAAACGUCAAGGCGUUGUUUCCAAAGUUCAGAUCAGCAUAGUCACACACAAGAAAAACAUGACAUAAGUAAUAUAAAGCGUCUAGGGUAGAAUUGCUUUCCACUGCAUAGUAAAGAAAUAAACAGAGCUUCUCUGUUCAAGAUCUAUCUUGUGUCUGUCACUUCUUUUGUACAGUUAUGGAGGCAAAGCUAUCAGAAGCAACAACUCAUUCCAUUCUAGCCCCCAUCUUUCAAAAUUCAUCAAGAGUUGAGCCAUAUUUUCCAUCCAAAGGCACACUUAAUUGCAGGAAAGUCCUAAAAUUCAAUUUAGCAAAAAAAAAGAGCAUCGCCCUAUUCGAGCUUCUGUUUCUCUUAUAAGGUAAUACAAGAUAAGAAACUCAACUACCCUUUUGGGCCUCCUCUGUCUCUGCAUUUUGUGAAUGAGUUUUAAUUUUAGCUAAGAAUUUAAUUAUUGUUAAUUAAGAUGAUUUCUUUCUACGCAUUUUCUUUUUGGUAAAUUUUUUAUUGUUGACCUUUCUAUGGUAAAAUAUUAAACCAUGAUUCUUAUUCUACCGCGAAUUGGAAUCAAGAGUGAGAUUGAUGGCCAUUUUAUGGUUUUGAAAUGUAUUCUGACUUGCAUCUCAUAUAUUAUGAUUGUAUGAACAUAUAAGAACCUAUAGAAGGCCUUGCAUGUAGGCUGGGGAUGAUGAUUUCUGCAUUUCAACAUCUGCUUGCAACUUUAGUCCUAGACACGUAGUUGAAAACUGAAGGUGCUCUCUUUCUGUGGGUGAUCGGGCACUGGACAGUAUGCUACCACAAAUUCCCAUAUAAAGGUGUAAAGCUGUGACAUUGGAUGUUAUUUCACCCACACAUGCAAACUUUGAUGAUCUACUAGAUCCUGCAUUUGCAUUCACAACCCACAGACAUUCAUUUGCUUUAACUACUGAUAUUUUAGAAAGAAUUUGGUCUGCCAAGCUGCAUGCAUUAGUUGGUACCAUAAGUGCUAUCAUGUUUAUGAGACUUACAUGUAAAGUGAUAAAUUGGGAUUUGAGAUCUAUUUAGCAUCGUAACAGUUCAGAAUGAUAGUUUUUCGAAAACCUUUGUUUUGUAUCUGUUAGCCAUAAAAUUUGUUGAAAUCUAGAUUAUUUUGGUUACUAUUUCUAAACAAUUUCUUAAAUCUUAUAUGAGGUGUAAUACUUUACUGACUAAAUCCUUUGUUGCAACAGUCUCGUGACAAAAUCUGUUGACAAUUGAAAAGUUGCACUGAAUAACAAAAUAUUGUUUAUUGCAUAUCUUUAUAGAAAAAAGAGUUGGUAUUAGAUUAGGUCCUUAUGAAACAUUAAAGUAUAAUCAACACACAUGAUCACAAUGCAUUCUCCAUAGAUGGCUUCAGUGGUUCGUUGGCGGAGUACAUGCCGAGAAACUGAAAAGCUUCAGGCCCAGGUGGGCAGAUACAUGAGCCCAGAUGAGCAUCCUUUCUUUCCGGCAGACUGACCGGAACCUAUGCUUCCACCUUUGCAAUACCCACAGGUUUUGCAUCCUUGUGCUGAUGCAAUCAAUAUAAACAAGAAGGUUUUGAAUAUGUAUUUUAAGGAUCUUCUCCCAAGAAUGGUAGAAGGCGGGAAUGAUGGUAACUGCGGAUCAUGUGCUGUCUGUGACGUGCUUGCAGGUAUCGUGUUUGAGUUGAUUUCACUGAGAUAUAUAAGCAACUUUUAGCUAAUCUGGACUUUUAAACAGGGGAAUAUCACUCUGAUGUCCUAAAAUGCUUUCAUUUACAUUUAUUUUAUAUAAUUUAUUUGUGCGCUCAUUCAGUCACUGAGUGAUAUGGAUUAGUACACUGUGAAUCCACAGUAAUAUUAGAGAUCCGAUUUCUACAUGAUGUUUAGAUGUCAAAAGGGAGUUUUGGAGCAACAACCGAACUAAUAUUACUAAACGUUACAAGAAUGGUUUUAGGCAAUUCUAUUGUUGGAUUGAUUACUAUCUUCAUCACACGUGGAUUUCUUUGUUCCUCACUCACUCAUGGUCUUCCAUGAUGCAGCUGUAGUUAUGGAAAACUGCAAGGAAAUGAGGCCCACUGUUUGAUAGCUCCCUGUGGUGGCUCUCUGCCUGAAACCAACCUCAUGUCACUAUGGCUAUCUGUUUUCAGGCAAUAUAUCUAUGUGUAUGUUACAAGGACAAUAAUUCGAUAGUAACCAAGUUAAAUUUAUUUCCUUUGCAUGGAAAAUCUCAUUUCUGGGACCCAUUGAUAUUGAAUGUUGCUUCUUAUAUGAGCAACAGGGGUGGCGUCAGUUUUUAACAUGGAUUCGUUAAUUCAACUUCCCACAUCUGCUGUCCUUAUCUAAUUGUUUGUUUUUGCUGGUGUAUCUACUUCUUUUGCUGUGUUAGAUUGUCAAAUUAAUGAUCAGACAAGAAAAUUUUUGUGGAAGCAUCAAGGCAGGAUGCAAAAAUAACAAUAGGCCGCUGUCUUCCCCUCCUUCCUGCAUUUAUCUUUUGCGUAUUGUGCGAGUGUUUUGUACAUAAAAGUAUGUCAGCCUUUGGUAUUCUCAGUGAUGUAUGAACGAGUCAGUUUCUAGGGGUAUACAAAUUGAUCAAAAUUAAAUUGCGCAAACAAACUAUUGAGAUUCAUUUCAUUUUCUUCAUAGAAAGACUUUUGCUGAAUGGUCUGCCUCUCUUAUCUUUUGGUGGACUAUCUUGUCUUCUUCGUUAUGGUUGCAGGCACUCUCGAAGAGAAUACAUUAUGGAAAAUUUGUAGCUGAAGCAAAAUUUCGAGAAUCCCCAGCCAGCUAUGAGGCUGCCAUCAAAGGGCAAGUAUGGUUCUUAAUUUCUUCUUUUCUCCUUUAUGUAAUCCUGUACUGGGGAUGUUGGUUUUGCAGGACAGGGCUCAACUUAUGGUACUACUGACAUAUGAAACAGUAGAAGCAGCAGUAAAGAAGAGGGUAGAGCUGAAAGCCAAGACGUACGGCCAGGAGGUAAAAAUUGAGCCAGUGAAAGACGCGGUAAAUCCAGUAUAUAAGAUCAAGCCGAUUUUAGUUGCCAACCUGUAUGGAGAUUGGGUCAUGCCCCUCACAAAAGAAAUUCAGGUUGAGUACUUGUUGAGGAGGUUGGACUAAACCUCCAGUCACCUUCUGGCCUGCUUGUGUGAUCAAGCAUUAUAAUUUACGGUUUCCAAUCUAGAGACAGCCACCUCAUCCAAAUCAAGCUGAAGAAAGUUUGGUUGUUACCAAGAUCAGCCCCUCCUACCACCUCAGAUUUGCAGGAACAGCAUUCCGGGCCUCGUUUGUAGUGCUUUGUGGAUGGAUGAGUAAAACAAUUACAACUUUUUGUUAUGAAAGUUUUAAUGUGUAGCUGGUCUGUCAUCCUGUUUUGUCGACUGAAUGUGCACAAUUUAGAAUGCAUAUAUAUGUAUAUAUAUCCUUCAAUGUGUUAUGUAAGUUCUGUA